UACAGGGGGGGCAAGCGUUGUUCGGAAUUACUGGGCGUAAAGGGUUCGUAGGUGGCCACUUAAGUCAGACGUGAAAUCCCUCAGCUUAACUGGGGAACUGCGUCUGAUACUGAGUGGCUUGAGUGCAGGAGAGGAAUGCGGAAUUCCAGGUGUAGCGGUGAAAUGCGUAGAUAUCUGGAGGAACACCGGUGGCGAAGGCGGCUUUCUGGUCCGAUACUGACGCUGAGGUGCGAAAGCGUGGGGAGCGAUCCGG
rnacentral:rRNA from 1 species